rnacentral:rRNA from 1 species
ACCUUCCGUACACUCAGGGAUAGCCUUUCGAAAGAAAGAUUAAUACCUGAUGGUAUGAUGAGAUUGCAUGAUAGCAUCAUUAAAGAUUUAUCGGUGUACGAUGGGGAUGCGUUCCAUUAGGUAGUAGGCGGGGUAACGGCCCACCUAGCCAACGAUGGAUAGGGGUUCUGAGAGGAAGGUCCCCCACAUUGGAACUGAGACACGGUCCAAACUCCUACGGGAGGCAGCAGUGAGGAAUAUUGGUCAAUGGACGAGAGUCUGAACCAGCCAAGUAGCGUGAAGGAUGAAGGUCCUACGGAUUGUAAACUUCUUUUAUAAGGGAAUAAACCCUCCCACGUGUGGGAGCUUGUAUGUACCUUAUGAAUAAGCAUCGGCUAACUCCGUGCCAGCAGCCGCGGUAAUACGGAGGAUGCGAGCGUUAUCCGGAUUUAUUGGGUUUAAAGGGAGCGCAGACGGGUCGUUAAGUCAGCUGUGAAAGUUUGGGGCUCAACCUUAAAAUUGCAGUUGAUACUGGCGUCCUUGAGUGCGGUUGAGGUGUGCGGAAUUCGUGGUGUAGCGGUGAAAUGCUUAGAUAUCACGAAGAACUCCGAUUGCGAAGGUAGCACACUAAUCCGUAACUGACGU